rnacentral:misc_RNA from 1 species
UAUCAUUGCAUUCGUGAUCUCGACAUUUUGUGCGGUAAUUGUACUCGCGCUUCGCGAUGUCAUCAGCUACGCCUUUACAGAAGGCCCCAUCGUGGCUGCCGCUGUCUCUGAUCUUUGCCCACUUCUCGCUCUCACGCUUCUCCUCAACGGAAUCCAACCUGUUUUAUCUGGUGUUGCAGUCGGGUGCGGUUGGCAAGCUUUCGUGGCCUAUGUAAAUAUCGGUUGUUAUUAUGUCGUCGGAGUUCCCUUGGGGGCUCUCCUUGGUUUCUAUUUCAAACUGG